rnacentral:rRNA from 1 species
ACGAACGCUGGCGGCAUGCCUAACCCAUGCAAGUCGAACGAUCCCUUCGGGGAUAGUGGCGCACGGGUGCGUAACGCGUGGGAACCUGCCCUUAGGUUCGGAAUAACUCAGAGAAAUUUGAGCUAAUACCGGAUAAUGUCUUCGGACCAAAGAUUUAUCGCCUUUGGAUGGGCCCGCGUUGGAUUAGCUAGUUGGUGGGGUAAAGGCCUACCAAGGCGACGAUCCAUAGCUGGUCUGAGAGGAUGAUCAGCCACACUGGGACUGAGACACGGCCCAGACUCCUACGGGAGGCAGCAGUGGGGAAUAUUGGACAAUGGGCGAAAGCCUGAUCCAGCAAUGCCGCGUGAGUGAUGAAGGCCUUAGGGUUGUAAAGCUCUUUUACCCGGGAUGAUAAUGACAGUACCGGGAGAAUAAGCCCCGGCUAACUCCGUG